rnacentral:misc_RNA from 1 species
UCUUAUUGUUCUCUCUCGAAAAGUCACGCAAACAACGACGACGUGCCGGCGUUCGAAAUGCGAAGGUAUUUCAGGGACGCGACUUUGGUCGUCAACCGACGAACAGCAGUGCUUCGCGUGCAUGCCGGAGUUCUAUCUCAGUGUCGAACGACGCUGAUUGUCGCCCCGGAGUUUCUGCAAAGGCGCACGUACUACCCCGCCCCCGGGACCUAUCCUCCGCCGCCGCCACCGCCGCCGCAAUCACACUACGUGCAACCUCUGUGGACCCCGUAUAAUGCCACGUAUAUGGCUCCUCCACCACCCCUGCCACAAGGGGGUAUGUCGUAUGGGCAGCCACAACAGCAGCCGCUCCCAAGCGAUCUGGGCACGAAGGAAAGACCGAUUGUGGUUGUGUCAGCCCCGCAGAAGGCUUCCUGGGCCACCCGCUUCUGGAUGUUCUUGCUCUUCGGGAUUGCUCUUAGCUGCUUCAUCAGCCUGGUCGAGGAGUUCAACGAUCGCUUUCAGGAGGGCCAGCCUGCAAACAAGUCAGGAUUUGCGCGCUCUGGCAUAUCUGGCCUGUUCGGCUCUGUCGACGUGAAGCCGGUGAAUCUGGACAACCUGGAGGUCACAUUUGACAGCAUCCGCGGAUGCGAUGAGGCGAAAAAAGAGCUGGAGGAGAUUGUUGAGUUUCUAAAGGACCCCGAGAAGUUCUACAAUUUGGGUGGGCGGCUGCCAAAAGGAGCGCUGCUCACCGGUCCGCCAGGGUGCGGGAAAACCAUGCUAGCAAAGGCGAUUGCCAAAGAGGCUGGCGUGAGCUUUUUCUACGCCACGGGAAGCGAGUUCGAUGAGAUGUUUGUUGGCGUCGGCGCCCGCCGCGUUCGCGAACUUUUCGCGGCCGCAAAGGCCAACUCACCAGCUUUGAUUUUCAUCGACGAGGUAGACGCAUUAGGCGGUCGCCGCUCUCGUUCUGACCACAGCACCUCUCGCAUGACGUUAAACCAGCUCCUGGCAGAGAUGGACGGCUUCGACUCCGACGAGGCCGUUAUUGUCCUCGCCGCCACGAACACCCCUGAAACGCUGGACAAGGCACUCACGCGCCCCGGUCGUCUGGACACCACCAUCACCGUUGAUCCACCGGAUAUGAAAGGGCGCGCGGAGGUGGUUCAGGUGUACCUUGACAAAAUCAAGACAGACAGCACGGUCAAUGCAAUGGAUAUUGCACGCGGAACAACUGGCUUCACAGGUGCCGAGCUUAGCAACUUGGUGAAUCUGGCAGCCAUCAGGGCCGCGGUGCUGAACAAGGCGAAGGUGACCAGCGAAGAGAUAGAGUACGCUAAGGACCGCGUCAUGAUGGGUGCCGAGAGCAAGAAGAUUGUGCCGGAGGAGGAGCGUCGCGUGACCGCGUUCCACGAGGGCGGCCACGCUUUGAGCGCUAUCUUGCUGAAGGACGAGGGUGCCGAUCCUGUCCACAAGGCAACCAUCGUACCCCGCGGCAACGGCAUUAUGGGACUCGUCCAGCAGCAGCCGGACAGGGAUAAGUACAGUCAAAGCAAGCGCCAGUGCCUGGCUCGCCUGAAGGUGUGUGUGGCGGGACGAGUCGGCGAAGAGAUUCUUUUAGGCCCUGACGAUAUCACGACCGGCGCAGGCUCCGAUUUUCAGCAGGCCACCAACAUGGCCCGCCACAUGGUGCGACAGUUCGGGUUCAGCGACGCCAUGGGCUUCGUAGACUAUGGUACACCCGACACCGCCGAAGGCGCCUACAUUUCAGAUGAGACGAAGCUCAAAAUCGAAAAAGAGGUACAUCGCCUUGUUGAGCAGGCCUACAUCGAGACCAAGGAGCUUCUUCUGAGCCACCGCGCUGAGUUGGAGAGUAUCGCCAACAACCUACUCAAGUAUGAAACGCUCAGUGGCAAGGAUCUUGAGAAGAUUAUAAAGGGCGAGGCUAUCCCAGAGCGUCCUCCGCGCCUCUCACAGGCUGCAGAGAGCAAGGCCGCGCCGCCACGAGGCGGGAACAGCGACCAGGCAAACGGUCGGAGAACUGUUCCAAUCUCAUAGCAUUCUUGUGACAGAGCGGUGCUGAGCAUGGGAGCGCCUCAGGGCACCGCAAGCCCUCUCCGGUGCGUCGGAACGCACUGCGGCUCUUUUUGUCUCAGAGUCUGACGAUCCCUCUUGUGUGCGUGCGUGUAAUAAUUGGGCUUCCCUGUCUCCUAACCUUUUCACGCUCUCGCUUCUCGCUUUUCCCGAUGUUGUGUGCGUUGUUGCGUUUUUCCACAGUGGACAGCUUUGGGAACGCUGUUUCUGGUUUCCCAUUUUGCUGAGUAUGUUUUUUUUUUUCUCUUGCGUGCCCCAGAUUUCCUGUAUGUCUUGUGCAUGUCUACACGGUGUCUUCUGGCCUCUGGCGCUUAGCGUCCUUUUCCGAGACAUGCAGGGAAGAGAGCGCUCUUCUUUUCCCUUUCCAACAGGAAAAAUCCUGGGGAGCAUCUGAGGCACACAGGCCACAUUCCCAUUGGAAGAACCGCAGCUUGCCGCUUGAGCAUCGAACAGUCUGAUGAGCUAGCAGGAGUGUAGUAUACUUCGCCGGGGGAAGAAGCUGAGAAAUGCUUGUGGCAUUUCUAUCUUCCGGAAUUCUCUGCCGGUGCUAUUGUGUCUCUGUAAAGCAUGCUGUGCAUGUGGAAGUGCCGAGGAGGGCUUGGCGUCUUUGUGUUUCUUUUGUAUUACUCAGUCUAUUUCCACG